rnacentral:rRNA from 1 species
UACGUAGGGUGCGAGCGUUGUCCGGAAUUACUGGGCGUAAAGAGCUCGUAGGUGGUUUGUCGCGUUGUCCGUGAAAACUCACAACUCAAUUGUGGGCGUGCGGGCGAUACGGGCAGACUGGAGUACUGCAGGGGAGACUGGAAUUCCCGGUGUAGCGGUGAAAUGCGCAGAUAUCGGGAAGAACACCCGUGGCGAAGGCGGCUCUCUGGAACGCAACUGACGCUGAGACGCGAAAGCGUGGGGAGCAAACAGG